AUGAACGCUAGCUACAGGCUUAACACAUGCAAGUCGAGGGGCAUCAGGAAGAAAGCUUGCUUUCUUUGCUGGCGACCGGCGCACGGGUGAGUAACACGUAUCCAACCUGCCCUUUACUCGGGGAUAGCCUUUCGAAAGAAAGAUUAAUACCCGAUAGCAUAAUGAUUCCGCAUGGUUUCAUUAUUAAAGGAUUCCGGUAAAGGAUGGGGAUGCGUUCCAUUAGGUUGUUGGUGAGGUAACGGCCCACCAAGCCUUCGAUGGAUAGGGGUUCUGAGAGGAAGGUCCCCCACAUUGGAACUGAGACACGGUCCAAACUCCUACGGGAGGCAGCAGUGAGGAAUAUUGGUCAAUGGGCGCUAGCCUGAACCAGCCAAGUAGCGUGAAGGAUGAAGGCUCUAUGGGUCGUAAACUUCUUUUAUAUAAGAAUAAAGUGCAGUAUGUAUACUGUUUUGUAUGUAUUAUAUGAAUAAGGAUCGGCUAACUCCGUGCCAGCAGCCGCGGUAAUACGGAGGAUCCGAGCGUUAUCCGGAUUUAUUGGGUUUAAAGGGAGCGUAGGUGGACUGGUAAGUCAGUUGUGAAAGUUUGCGGCUCAACCGUAAAAUUGCAGUUGAUACUGUCAGUCUUGAGUACAGUAGAGGUGGGCGGAAUUCGUGGUGUAGCGGUGAAAUGCUUAGAUAUCACGAAGAACUCCGAUUGCGAAGGCAGCUCACUGGACUGCAACUGACACUGAUGCUCGAAAGUGUGGGUAUCAAACAGGAUUAGAUACCCUGGUAGUCCACACAGUAAACGAUGAAUACUCGCUGUUUGCGAUAUACAGUAAGCGGCCAAGCGAAAGCAUUAAGUAUUCCACCUGGGGAGUACGCCGGCAACGGUGAAACUCAAAGGAAUUGACGGGGGCCCGCACAAGCGGAGGAACAUGUGGUUUAAUUCGAUGAUACGCGAGGAACCUUACCCGGGCUUAAAUUGCAGUGGAAUGAUGUGGAAACAUGUCAGUGAGCAAUCACCGCUGUGAAGGUGCUGCAUGGUUGUCGUCAGCUCGUGCCGUGAGGUGUCGGCUUAAGUGCCAUAACGAGCGCAACCCUUAUCUUUAGUUACUAACAGGUUAUGCUGAGGACUCUAGAGAGACUGCCGUCGUAAGAUGUGAGGAAGGUGGGGAUGACGUCAAAUCAGCACGGCCCUUACGUCCGGGGCUACACACGUGUUACAAUGGGGGGUACAGAAGGCAGCUAGCGGGUGACCGUAUGCUAAUCCCAAAAUCCUCUCUCAGUUCGGAUCGAAGUCUGCAACCCGACUUCGUGAAGCUGGAUUCGCUAGUAAUCGCGCAUCAGCCACGGCGCGGUGAAUACGUUCCCGGGCCUUGUACACUCCGCCCGUCAAGCCAUGGGAGCCGGGGGUACCUGAAGUACGUAACCGCAAGGAUCGUCCUAGGGUAAAACUGGUGACUGGGGCU
rnacentral:rRNA from 1 species